rnacentral:rRNA from 1 species
AGUAAUGUCUGGGAAACUGCCUGAUGGAGGGGGAUAACUACUGGAAACGGUAGCUAAUACCGCAUAACGUCGCAAGACCAAAGAGGGGGACCUUCGGGCCUCUUGCCAUCGGAUGUGCCCAGAUGGGAUUAGCUAGUAGGUGGGGUAAUGGCUCACCUAGGCGACGAUCCCUAGCUGGUCUGAGAGGAUGACCAGCCACACUGGAGCUGAGACACGGUCCAG